rnacentral:pre_miRNA from 1 species
CGGUGUUAGCAGGUUACAUGCGGUGCAGUAUGGUAGUGGAAAAUGCUGCAUCCCUUGUGACCUCCGUACAGAGU